rnacentral:rRNA from 1 species
UACGAAGGGGGCUAGCGUUGUUCGGAAUUACUGGGCGUAAAGCGCGUGUAGGCGGGUCUUUAAGUCAGGGGGGAAAUGCCAAGGCUCAACCUUGGAACUGCCUUUGAUACUGGAGAGCUUGAGUCCGGGAGAGGUGAGUGGAAUUGCGAGUGUAGAGGUGAAAUUCGUAGAUAUCGUAAGGAAGACCAGUGGCGAAGGCGGGUCUCUGGACAGUUCCUGACGCUGAGGCACGAAGGUCAGGGGAGCAAACGGG